rnacentral:lncRNA from 1 species
CGCCGGUCACGCCGUCAAGCAACGCCUCACCUGGCGUUUCUUCCAUGGAAUAGGCCCACUUACACGGUGCCAGCGGAACCUUGCGAUGGAGCCAGCGACAACGUGAGACGGUGGGAAUUAUUUGCCAAACUUUCUUCGUACUUGUCCUGCAAUAUUGAUUUUCAGACCGUGGCUGCGACUUCGGAUAGAACGAGCAAAACAUUGAUUGUCACUAAGCGAGCGCGAGGCCAAAGGUCAGCUUCCACUGAAGAACUGAGGCAGGUGAAAUAACCAGACUGACGCUGUAAGUCAAAGCUUCACCGAAGUCCCUUUCCCCUGCCACGAUGACAGAGAAAGACAUCGAAAUGGUGUGCGAAGUACUGCACGGCAUGUCUGAGGCAGAGGUUCGCUCGCUCGGAGACGACGGUAUCUGGUGGCUGCCACAUAUUGCAUCUGUUCCGCGGCUCGUGGCAAUCGGCUCGAUCCGGAGUGCACUGCGGGAGUUCGAGACUAUGGACAACCGCGUUUUCUGUAUCGCCUGGCUUUUCUUGUGCCUCACGGAGCGACAACAUAUCCACGUGUGGCGGUCGUACCGCAUCGACUAUUGUGCUGCAGCACUGUCCGGCAGGUUAUCACUGCACGAGCGAGUGGCGUCCGCUCUGGCGCAUCCGGGCAGCCACACCAAAUACGCGAAAGUUGAACGUCAAAGUGCUGUCUACGCUUGCAUUAUGGCCACACGCGCGGAGCUGCAAUCUCUGGACCACGACGUCAUUUGUUUGUGCAUUCCGCAUUCGCUCCCGUACAUUUUCGUCCACUCGACUUCAGAUGAAGACCACUUGAAUGCCGUUCUCGAAAGGGUGUUCCAAAAACGUGCCGCAGAGAUUUUCGUCGGAUGCUUUGAUGACCUAGGUCUCGCAUUUCAUGAAGCCCACAUGAAUUGUUCGUCGUCAGUACACACAGACGAAACUAUGCGCAACCCAAGUCAUUAGUGAACUCGGAGUCAUCGACGUGGCAUGACCGGACAUUUGCCAACGAAGCCGGCGGAAUGGUCUCAACAAUACGUCGCCCAUUAUCUUACCACCUUCACAUUUGAAGCUUUGCUGAUGUCUGACGACCCCGCUUCUCCCAAGGUCAACACCCAAGAUUUUGAAGCUGACAGCUUUGUUGACAGCCGGACGUUGGUCAGAUCGAAGAUUAUU